rnacentral:lncRNA from 1 species
UCUCAAAUUCAUGUUUGUUGUGGGAUGUGAAGCAUCUUAUAGAUAAUAUAAAAAUGCUGAUAUUCUUAAAAGAGUAAAACUCUGAGGUAGGAAUUGUAAGUCACGAGGAAUAUGUCCACUGAUUACUAAGGGGCCUGAGACUUUAGUUUUACAAACACUAUUUACUCUAACUUCUUUAUAUUUUAAAUUAGAAAACUGAAACCAGAGAAAUGAGCUUAUAUACUUAGGUAUCAAAUUUAAUGCCGACGCUCAUAGUAAAACCAAGGUCUUAAUUCUUUCAGGACAUUGCAGUUUCACUAAAUCACUUUGUUUUAGACAGAGAAGGAACGAGAGGAGGACCUAAAUGGUUUUCUCUGCUUUUGCAUCAGAUUUUAGCUGGGACCAUCUCAUAAUGUUUGUGUACAUUCCUGUUGUCUUCUACCUCUCAUCCACAGCGUCUCUCUACUGCCUAUGACCAGCCUACAUAAGGUGAGGAAAUUUCCUGCUUCUUCAAUGACCCAGGUGAGCUUACUCAAGUAAUAUUCUCUGUCUUUAUGAAAUGGGCAUUGUUCCUCCUUUUUGUGUUCUUGCAUCACCACAGUAAAAAGAUAAUCCAUCACUAAAAUUUGUGAAAAACAGAAUAGUUCUUUGCUGUUGGCUUCUUAUUAAAUAUUGGGUUUGUGAAUUUAUAUAUUCUUUCUCCCUUAUGAUGUUUCAGACACUUGAGGUUAGGCUAGAGGGAACAGUUGCCUACAAUUUUAAGGUGCAUUUUAUUCUACUCAAUGAACUACCUAUGUAGACAUAUGAGCUAUGAUUUGUAGGCUGAGAAGUAAAACCUUCACCUGAUUCUGAACCCCCGAAGUUGAGUCAUAGUUGAGGUCUGUCCCUCAACUAACUUUUCUCUUUAAAGGAAAUUCCUUCUUAAUUGAGUACAGCGCCUGGGUGACUAAAAGAUGGGCUUUGUGCCUCAAUAGUUUGAAUAUUUUAUUUUUAGGGGGUUGUGUUGAUAUCCGUGAGGCUUAUUGGUCUUCUCUUUAAAAAGCAAUUAUUAGUGGAACUAACUUGCCAGACAACCAGAAAUGCCUAGAGAGAGAGAUUGAUUGAUUGAUUGAUUGAUUGAUUGAUUGAUUCUUAGAGUACUCACGUAGCUUAGACCCUCACUGUGAGUUUUUGUUUCAUUGGAAAUAAUCUAUAGUUUCAGAUGAUAGUAAAGUAGCACAACAAAGAGAAAGUUUACAAACAGAGAAAAAAACGAGAUUCCUCUUUUAAGUUCAUGUUAUUUUAAUAAGAAAUGUUUAAAAGAAAAAUUUGAAGCC